AAUUUUAAAACCAAAGUCGGUGAAACUGACGACUCUCUUUCGGCCAGGUGGUAUUUAAAAAAGAAAUAACAUUCCUCGGUCAGAGAAAUAGGAGACCCAAGCAACCCUAAGUACUCUCUACGUAAAGAAGGUUAAAAGUCUGGGUAAACAAGGGCUGCUGAGCGCCUGAUGAACCAAUAUGCAAACAUCCCUCAGAAUUGCCAAGUACCAG